GGCCGCCUUAGCUCAGUCGGUAGAGCAGCUCACUCGUAAUGAGCAGGUCAGCGGUUCGAUUCCGCUAGGCGGCUCCC
rnacentral:tRNA from 1 species